GCUAGUAGGCGGCUUAGCAAGUCGGGUGUGAAAACUUCAGGCUCAACCUGGAGCGGCCAUCCGAUACUGCUAUGGCUAGAGUCCGGUAGGGGACCACGGAAUUCCUGGUGUAGCGGUGAAAUGCGCAGAUAUCAGGAGGAACACCGAUGGCGAAGGCAGUGGUCUGGGCCGGAACUGACGCUGAAUAGCGAAAGCGUGGGUAGCGAACAGGAUUAGAUACCCUGGUAGUCCACGCCGUAAACGUUGGGCACUAGGUGUGGGGAGUUAUCAACGCUCUCCGUGCCGUAGCUAACGCAUUAAGUGCCCCGCCUGGGGAGUACGGCCGCAAGGCUAAAACUCAAAGGAAUUGACGGGGGCCCGCACAAGCGGCGGAGCAUGUGCCUUAAUUCGAGGCGACGCGAAGAACCUUACCUGGGUUGAACUACGCAGGAAAAGCCGUAGAGAUACGGUGUCCUUCGGGGCCUGCGAUAGGUGGUGCAUGGCUGUCGUCAGCUCGUGUUGUGAGAUGUUGGGUUAAGUCCCGCAACGAGCGCAACCCUCGUCCUAUGUU
rnacentral:rRNA from 1 species